GCACUCGUAGCUCAGUUGGAUAGAGCGUCUGCCUCCGGAGUAGAAGGUCGUGGGUUCAAGUCCCGCCGAGUGCACCA
rnacentral:tRNA from 1 species